rnacentral:rRNA from 1 species
AGUGAACGCUGGCGGCAUGCCUUACACAUGCAAGUCGAACGGCAGCGCGGGAUGCGGCCUGGCGGCCAGUGGCCGACGGGCGAGUAAUGCAGCGGAACGUCCCCAUCUACUGGGUAUAGCCCGGUGAAAGCCGGAUAAAUACCGCAUACGCCCUGAGGAGGAAAGCGGGGGACCGAAAGGCCUCGCGCUAUUGCAGCGUCCGAUGUCGGAUUAGCUAGUUGGUGGGGUAAAGGCUUACCAAGGCGACGAUCCGUAGCUGGUUUGAGAGGAAGACCAGCCACACUGGGACUGAGACACGGCCCAGACUCCUACGGGAGGCAGCAGUGGGGAAUUUUGGACAAUGGGGGCAACCCUGAUCCAGCCAUGCCGCGUGCGGGAAGAAGGCCUUCGGGUUGUAAACCGCUUUUGUUCGGGAAGAAAGCCUCUGGGUUAAUACCCCGGGGGGAUGACGGUACCGGAAGAAUAAGCACCGGCUAACUACGUG